rnacentral:rRNA from 1 species
AUGCACCCGCUACAACCUCCUCAGCAACUUCGACGAUGCCCCUGGCUCCAAGCUGGAGGCCACCACCCCCAUACAUUGGCAGCAGCGGCAACAUUCCAAGACCUAAUGGAGGUGUGGAAGACCAUGGGAAAGUUUGGCGAUCACAUCACCGACGAUCUGAAAAGGUUGAUUGAUCGCCAAGGCAGUGAUCUCCAAGUGAUCUCACUUUGGCCAAGUCCUCAAGCUGAUGUUGUUGGGGAACAUGGGUGCAUGAGUAUUCUGAAGAAGGCGUAUGAUGACCCAGAAAUCUACCAAGAAUUCAAGAACCGUGCCUGGGUAAAGUUGAGUACACAUCAUCCUUUCAACCCGGUAAAGUUUCUCAACGACUUGUUGACUCAGUUUAGUACAUCUCACCAUCACCACCACCAUGAAGACAUAUCCGAGCUCAUGCUGCAAGUCAAUAAGCACAGGUAUCUCAUCGUCCUAGAGGAAGAGUUAUCCAGUGUUGCAGACUGGAAUGCCAUCAGAAAGUGUCUCCCGGAAGGCAAAAAGGGCAGCCGGAUUGUUGUCUCCACCAAGCAUUUGAAAAUUGCAAUUGUCUGCACGCGGGUCCCCUACCAAGUUUCCCAACUUAUACACUUGUCUCAUGACCGAGGUCUUUAUGCCUUUUUCCCAAAGUAUUUAAUCAUGGAAAACAUAUGUCUACUCUAUGAGAGGAACUUUAAGAUAUCAGGUCGCCCUAUUCCAAAUGUUCAUUUUAAUCCAAGAGCUGGUACCUAG